rnacentral:rRNA from 1 species
GGCUCAGGACGAACGCUGGCGGCGUGCCUAAUACAUGCAAGUAGAACGCUGAAGACUUUAGCUUGCUAGAGUUGGAAGAGUUGCGAACGGGUGAGUAACGCGUAGGUAACCUGCCUACUAGCGGGGGAUAACUAUUGGAAACGAUAGCUAAUACCGCAUAACAGUGUUUAACACAUGUUAGAUGCUUGAAAGAUGCAAUUGCAUCACUAGUAGAUGGACCUGCGUUGUAUUAGCUAGUUGGUGGGGUAACGGCCUACCAAGGCGACGAUACAUAGCCGACCUGAGAGGGUGAUCGGCCACACUGGGACUGAGACACGGCCCAGACUCCUACGGGAGGCAGCAGUAGGGAAUCUUCGGCAAUGGGGGCAACCCUGACCGAGCAACGCCGCGUGAGUGAAGAAGGUUUUCGGAUCGUAAAGCUCUGUUGUAAGAGAAGAACGUGUGUGAGAGUGGAAAGUUCACACAGUGACGGUAACUUACCAGAAAGGGACGGCUAACUACGUGCCAGCAGCCGCG